UACGAAGGGGGCUAGCGUUGCUCGGAAUCACUGGGCGUAAAGGGCGCGUAGGCGGGCUGUCAAGUCUGGGGUGAAAUCCCGCGGCUCAACCGUGGAACUGCCUCAGAUACUGACGGUCUCGAGGGAGGUAGGGGCGAGCGGAACUGAUGGUGGAGCGGUGAAAUGCGUUGAUAUCAUCAGGAACUCCGGUGGCGAAGGCGGCUCGCUGGACCUCUUCUGACGCUGAGGCGCGAAAGCCAGGGGAGCAAAGCG
rnacentral:rRNA from 1 species